rnacentral:rRNA from 1 species
UACAGAGGUCUCAAGCGUUGUUCGGAUUCAUUGGGCGUAAAGGGUGCGUAGGUGGUGAGGAAAGUCGGAUGUGAAAUCUCCGGGCUUAACCCGGAAAUGGCAUUGGAAACUACCUUGCUAGAGGUUUUGAGGGGGGACUGGAAUUCUCGGUGUAGCAGUGAAAUGCGUAGAUAUCGAGAGGAACACCGGUGGCGAAGGCGAGUCCCUGGAAAACACCUGACACUGAGGCACGAAAGCUAGGGGAGCAAACAGG